AACGCAACUUGCGCCUCUGAGAGGAGGCAUGUCUGCUUGAGGACCGUAACCAAAGAUUGUUCCUGGCGAGGGACAGAGAUGAGGCGACACUUGAGGGUGGGCCUUGGAAUGGAGGAUGAGCGUGUGAUGCUCUGGCAUGUGGUGGGGCAGUAGCCUUGUCAUGGCAGAGCAGAAGGGAGGAUGGGACGGGUGGAUGAGGCUGGUGGAUGCAUGCUUGUACAGCACCAGUGUGUACAGCACCAGUGUGUACAGCACCAGUGUGUACACCACCAACUCCCAUCACACCAAACUUCCACCACACCACACCACAAACCAAUGACACGGUCUCAAGUCAGGCAGGACUACCCGCUGAACUUAA
rnacentral:misc_RNA from 1 species